rnacentral:rRNA from 1 species
GCGUAACGCGUAUACAAUCUACCUUUAGCUGAGGGAUAGCCCAGAGAAAUUUGGAUUAAUACCUCAUGGUAUCUUUUUAUAGCAUUAUGAGAAGAUUAAAGAUUACGGCAAAAGAUGAGUAUGCGUCCUAUUAGCUAGAUGGUGUGGUAACGGCACACCAUGGCAACGAUAGGUAGGGGCCCUGAGAGGGGGAUCCCCCACACUGGUACUGAGACACGGACCAG